UAAUACUGCCUGGUAACGA
rnacentral:miRNA from 1 species